rnacentral:lncRNA from 1 species
CAGAAGGGUGCAAUCUUGCUCCUCCUGGGUAGUGGCAUUUAAGCUGUUGGGUUUGCCUACUGAAUGCCUGAGAAGUCUCAAUGUGGUAGCCAGCUGUGGCCUGUCACACCUUGACCACUGUGUGAUGAAGAAGCCUAGAUCAGGGAGCUGUCUGAUAUGGGGUGCUUGGUAGGAAGGGUUAAGAAAAAUAUGUUCAAAAUCCCAGUUCUCAGCAUGACUCGUGGCUAUGGGUUUGCUCUGAUAGUUCUUGCCCCAAGUCCUGGGUGCUGUGUUUGAACCACUGCUUAGAAAGAGAUUGAUUUAAAGAACACCCUGCAAGGAGGCCUUCCCACAAGCCUUGGCACGAUGUCCCUGGAGGAUGUUGAUGUUGACCUACACUGGAAGAGUGAAUUUGGAAAAAAUGCAGCAGCAGAGAGAAAGUGAGAAGUCUGGACAGGUGACUCUCAACAGGAGAAGUUCAAGAUCGCUGGUGAAUGGAAGCUUUACAGGUCCUUUCUUGGAAAGGAACAAUAUUAAAAACUUCCCAAUGAAGGGAGCAACGUGGGAGAAUGCUGAAAUACUGAAGGUUGAAGAGACAAGCUCUGCAGAGCCUCAAUGGAAGAGGUAAAUGUUGUUUCACUUCUCAGUCACUGUCUGUUGCAGUUGCUGGCUGAGUGCAGCCAGUGAUGGACUGUUGCAGAGAUGAUGUGGGCUGGGAUCAUGAGAGCACCUUGUGUCACAGCACCUCGUCAGGUGAGGUUCACGCUCCUUAAGGUGCCUGCCCUAAAAUUACUACCAUUGGACCAAAUUCUAAACUCUUUAUUCAUUCAAAAUUUUCACCAUCUUGGAACGAUGUUUUGCCUGAGCAACAACUACAGGAUUUUGCCCAUCCAUCAGCCAAAGUAACUUUACAGAGAUGACAUCAUUUAGAGUGCUCAGCCCUGGCUUGUGUACAUCCCUGCUAGGGCUAUGACUUUAGUCACUCUCACAGGAGGGUCAAAUCAGAGGCUGAUAAGCUGGUGGAGGGGAGGACUCCAAACAAGAAGUUGCAGAGAAAGGUGGUUUUUCCCCUACUUCCAGCGGGCAAGUAAUCUGAGGCAGUCAGGCAAAUAGCAACUUAAACAUAAAUUUGAAUGUAUUUAGGUGCUUUUGAUAGGAGCCCUUUUACUUCCAGUAUUAGAAUAGUUUUCUGAGUACGGUUGGGUUGGAAGGAAUCUGCAGUGCUUUUCUUAGCUGAAUGGAUGUGUAACUUAAGUCCCUGAGUCAGCUGGAGAAUUACCAAAGGAAGUGAGACAAGGACUUUGAUAGCUCUGUAUCCUGCCUUGAACAGAGGGCAACUCAGACUAUUUCAGCAGAAAUUGCAAAGUGCAGGAACAUGGAAUAAUCUACUGAAGAGGCAGUUGCUGCUUAACUGGUGAAAGAGGAAAAAAUGUCAUAUCCUCUCUAACCUGAACAGAGGUGCUUUUACCCAUGACAUUCACUCCCUCUAAUCUGCAUAGUCCUUGGCUCUGACUGCCUCAGCAGUGAGUUCCAGAGAUAAUACAUUGAGAGAUGUUGCUUUGUAUCACACACUUUUUUUUUUUUUUUUAACUACAGACUGAUGAGUGGCAGGGAGUUGGUGGAAAAUG